rnacentral:tRNA from 2 species
GGCGCGAUGGCAGAGUGGUUAUGCAGCGGCCUGCAAAGCCGUGUACAUCGGUUCGAUUCCGGUUCGCGCCU